AUUGAACGCUGGCGGCAGGCCUAACACAUGCAAGUCGAGCGGACGAAGGGAGCUUUCUCCUGGAUUCAGCGGCGGACGGGUGAGUAAUGCCUAGGAAUCUGCCUGGUAGUGGGGGAUAACGUCCGGUAACGGGCGCUAAUACCGCAUACGUCCUUAGGGUGAAAGUGGGGGAUCUUCGGACCUCACGCUAUCAGAUGAGCCUAGGUCGGAUUAGCUAGUUGGUGGGGUAAAGGCCUACCAAGGCGACGAUCCGUAACUGGUCUGAGAGGAUGAUCAGUCACACUGGAACUGAGACACGGUCCAGACUCCUACGGGAGGCAGCAGUAGGGAAUAUUGGACAAUGGGCGAAAGCCUGAUCCAGCCAUGCCGCGUGUGUGAAGAAGGUCUUCGGAUUGUAAAGCACUUUAAGUUGGGAGGAAGGGCAGUGAGUUAAUACCUUGCUGUUUUGACGUUACCAACAGAAUAAGCACCGGCUAACUUCGUG
rnacentral:rRNA from 1 species